rnacentral:rRNA from 1 species
GACGAACGCUGGCGGCGUGCCUAAUACAUGCAAGUGGGACGCAAGGACACACACAGUGCUUGCACACCGUGUUUUCUUGAGUCGCGAACGGGUGAGUAACGCGUAGGUAACCUGCCUAUUAGCGGGGGAUAACUAUUGGAAACGAUAGCUAAUACCGCAUAAUAUUAAUUAUUGCAUGAUAAUUGAUUGAAAGAUGCAAGCGCAUCACUAGUAGAUGGACCUGCGUUGUAUUAGCUAGUUGGUAAGGUAAGAGCUUACCAAGGCGACGAUACAUAGCCGACCUGAGAGGGUGAUCGGCCACACUGGGACUGAGACAAGGCCCAGACUCCUACGGGAGGCAGCAGUAGGGAAUCUUCGGCAAUGGACGAAAGUCUGACCGAGCAACGCCGCGUGAGUGAAGAAGGUUUUCGGAUCGUAAAGCUCUGUUGUAAGUCAAGAACGUGUGUGAGAGUGGAAAGUUCACACAGUGACGGUAGCUUACCAGAAAGGGACGGCUAACUACGUG